rnacentral:rRNA from 1 species
CUACGGGGUGCACCAGUGGGGAAUCUUGCGCAAUGGGCGAAAGCCUGACGCAGCCACGCCGCGUGCGGGAUGAAGGCCUUCGGGCUGUAAACCGCUUUCAGCAGGAACGAAAAUGACGGUACCUGCAGAAGAAGGAGCGGCCAACUACGUGCCAGCAGCCGCGGUGACACGUAGGCUCCAAGCGUUGUCCGGAUUUAUUGGGCGUAAAGAGCUCGUAGGCGGUUGAGUAAGUCGGGUGUGAAAACUCUGGGCUUAACCCGGAGACGCCAUCCGAUACUGCUCUGACUAGAGUUCAGGAGGGGAGUGGAGAAUUCCUAGUGUAGCGGUGAAAUGCGCAGAUAUUAGGAGGAACACCGGUGGCGAAGGCGCCACUCUGGACUGAAACUGACGCUGAGGAGCGAAGGCAUGGGUAGCAAACAGGAUUAGAUACCCGAGUAGUC